UCUAUACGGAGUUACAAAGGACGACAUUAGACGAAUCAUCUGGAAAGAUGAAUCAAAGAAGGUAAUAAUCCUGUAGUCGAAAAUGUUGUCUCUCUUGAGUGGAUCCUGAGUACGACGGAGCACGUGAAAUUCCGUCGGAAUCUGGGAGGACCAUCUCCUAAGGCUAAAUACUCUCUAGUGACCGAUAGUGAACCAGUACCGUGAGGGAAAGGUGAAAAGCACCCCGGAAGGGGAGUGAAAUAGAACCUGAAACCGUGUGCUUACAAGUAGUCAGAGCCCGUUAAUGGGUGAUGGCGUGCCUUUUGUAGAAUGAACCGGCGAGUUACGAUUUGAUGCAAGGUUAAGCAGUAAAUGUGGAGCCGUAGCGAAAGCGAGUCUGAAUAGGGCGUUUAGUAUUUGGUCGUAGACCCGAAACCAGGUGAUCUACCCUUGGUCAGGUUGAAGUUCAGGUAACACUGAAUGGAGGACCGAACCGACUUACGUUGAAAAGUGAGCGGAUGAACUGAGGGUAGCGGAGAAAUUCCAAUCGAACCUGGAGAUAGCUGGUUCUCUCCGAAAUAGCUUUAGGGCUAGCCUCAAGUGAUGAUUAUUGGAGGUAGAGCACUGUUUGGACGAGGGGCCCCUCUCGGGUUACCGAAUUCAGACAAACUCCGAAUGCCAAUUAAUUUAACUUGGGAGUCAGAACAUGGGUGAUAAGGUCCGUGUUCGAAAGGGAAACAGCCCAGACCACCAGCUAAGGUCCCAAAAUAUAUGUUAAGUGGAAAAGGAUGUGGCGUUG
rnacentral:rRNA from 1 species